rnacentral:rRNA from 1 species
CCUACGGGCGGCAGCAGUGGGGAAUAUUGGACAAUGGGGGGAACCCUGAUCCAGCCAUGCCGCGUGUGUGAAGAAGGCCCUCGGGUUGUAAAGCACUUUCAGUGAGGAAGAACGCCUGGUGGUUAAUACCCAUCAGGAAAGACAUCACUCACAGAAGAAGCACCGGCUAACUCCGUGCCAGCAGCCGCGGUAAUACGAAGGGUGCGAGCGUUAAUCGGAAUUACUGGGCGUAAAGCGCGCGUAGGUGGCUUGAUAAGCCGGUUGUGAAAGCCCCGGGCUCAACCUGGGAACGGCAUCCGGAACUGUCAAGCUAGAGUGCAGGAGAGGAAGGUAGAAUUCCCGGUGUAGCGGUGAAAUGCGUAGAGAUCGGGAGGAAUACCAGUGGCGAAGGCGGCCUUCUGGACUGACACUGACACUGAGGUGCGAAAGCGUGGGUAGCAAACAGGAUUAGAUACCCUGGUAGUC